rnacentral:rRNA from 1 species
GACGUAGGGCGCGAGCGUUGUCCGGAUUUAUUGGGCGUAAAGAGCUCGUAGGCGGCUUGUCGCGUCGUCCGUGAAAACCUGCGGCUCAACUGCAGGCUGGCGGUCGAUACGGGCAGGCUGGAGUUCGGUGAGGGGAGGACUGGAAUUCCUGGUGUGAGCGGUGGAAAUGACGCAGAUAUCAGGAGGAACACCGGUGGCGAAGGCGGGUCUCUGGGCCGAUACUGACGCUGAGGAGCGAAAGCGUGGGGAGCGAACAGG